rnacentral:rRNA from 1 species
UACGUAGGUGGCAAGCGUUGUCCGGAUUUAUUGGGUUUAAAGGGUGCGUAGGCGGUCCCAUAAGUCAGUGGUGAAAUACUCUAGCUUAACUAGAGGGGUGCCAUUGAUACUGUGGGACUUGAGUAGAGUUGAAGUGGGCGGAAUUGACGGUGUAGCGGUGAAAUGCUUAGAUAUCGUCAAGAACACCGAUAGUGAAGACAGCUCACUAAGCUCAAACUGACGCUGAGGCACGAAAGUGUGGGGAUCAAACAGG